UGGCUAUAGAGACAGAGUUUGUUAGUGCGAUUUCAUAGACGUUUGCUCGUUACUCAUCAUUCUCCGUAGGCAAAAAAGGAUUUUGGAGAUCUCUAAUUCAUCUUGCUCCAAGAUGAUACGGUAAAUCAAAUCAGUUGCUGGUUUUUGUAUUUCCACAUUGUUUUGACAAAUAGAGAAUUAAAAAGGGAGAGAAAACAAAGAUAAUUGCAAAUGUUAUUUUUAGUUUGAUUCCCACCGUCUUUUAUUUGCACACUACCACCAACAAGGAGUUAAAAAGUAUUAAUUUUUGUCCUCUUUCAUUUGACAAACUGAAACAUGCUUGAUGUUUUGUGUCUCUGUUUUUAUACAUGCAUUGACGAAUGAGUACGACACACACACUUAUCCAAAAAUUAUUCUUGUUGAUCUGAUAUUGAUUUGUUCCUUUGUUCAUUUUGAUGUGUAUAUGCAAAACAAGUUUUUUUCGAUUAUAUGUGGGUGGAUAUUGGACCUCAGACGGUUCAUAUAUUGGCGGUGAUAUAAGGCGGUGUAGGGUAGAGUUUGAAAAUCCAAGUAUAUCAAUGUUAGUAGAUAUGGUUCAGAAUGAAGGUUUUGCAGAUAAUAUGAGUAAGUUUUCAUAUUUCCCAUCCAAAGAAGACUAUAAUCAGAAGGAAUUGUCUACGGACGUUGACGUUGCAGAAAUGAUUAAUUGCAUUCAGGAGUUGGAAAGUAUGAAUCUAUAUGUUGUUAGGGAUGAUGAUCCAUAUUUGGAAGAUGUGCUUGUUGGAGAAGAGGAAGAGAAAGAUGAAGAAGAACCUGAAGAUGAACCUACUGACUUUUAUUGUGAUGAUUAUGCUGAGACUGAUGAUUCAGAUGAUGAUGGCCACCAAGUUUCUUUUUUUUGUUGGUCAAGCGUUUUUCUCCAAAGAAAGUUGCAAGAAGGCUAUUGAGAUGUAUGCUAUUAAAGAGAAGGUCAAUAUUCGUUUUCAAAAAUCUGAAAGUAAGAAAGUAGCUGCAGCAUGUGUACAAGAUUGUUGUAGUUGGAAGAUAUAUGCCUCAGUAAACAGCAUGUCUGCUAAUAUGGUUGUGCGGUCGUACAAUUGCACUCACACUUGUUAUCCAACUGGUGUAGUGAAAUUAUAUAGUGCACCUAAUAUAGCAGCUGAUUUUUUGAAUGAUUUUAGGACAAAUUAAAAUUUGAGUGCAGAUCAGAUGAUGCAAAGGUUGCUAAUCCAAGGUCUUUGGGUUCCUAUAAGACAAAAUGUCAGAGUGCAAGACAAAUUAUGUUACACAUUAUUAGUGAUGAAUAUGCUGAGCAGUUUACAAGUAUGUUUGAUUAUGCGGAAGAGCUUCGUGAGUCAAAUCCUGGUUCAACUGUGAUACUAGGGACAAAAGAUAAGGUUUUUGACAAGUUUUACACAUGCUUUGAAGCUCAGAAAACUGGAUGGAGAAGUGCAUGCAGACGUGUAAUUCAUUUGGAUGGAACAUUUCUUAAAGGACGGAUGAAAGGACAACUGUUGACUGAUGUGGGAAGAGAUCCAAAUAACCAAAUAUUUAUUAUUGCAUAGGCUAUUAUUCCAGUAGAGAACAAAGUUAAUUGGGAGUGGUUCAUGACAUUGCUUCAAGAAGACUUGCAUUUGGGGCUUGGAAAUGGGCUUGCACUAUCAUCAGAUCAGCAAAAAGGACUGAUAUAUGCUAUCAAAAAUGUCCUUCCUUAUGCAGAGCAUAGAAUGUGUGCUAGACAUAUAUGGUCGAACUUGAGGAAAAGACAUGGUGAGUCGGGAAAUCUCCAUGGUUUAUUUUGGAAGUGUACAAGAGCAUACAAUAUGCAAGUUUUUGAUAGAAGACUCGAGAAGAUGAAGAGUGUAAGACCUGAAGCUUAUGAAGAAGUGAAGAGAAGUGUUUCUUCAAACUGGUCUAGAGCAUUUUUUAAUGAUUUUACGAAGUCUGCUGCUGUAGAAAACAACCAUAGCGAGUCAUAUAAUGCUGUGUUAAAAGACGCUCGACGCAAACCAGUGGUUGCAUUGCUUGAGGACAUAAGGAGACAUGUUAUGUCCAGUAACUUGUUGAAGAUUAAAGAGAUGCAGAAUGCUACAGGAUUGAUCAAACCGAAGGCAAAAGCUGUUAUAGACUAGCGAAAAAAAAUCUUAAGUGGUGUUAUCCACUGGCUUCUGGAAGAGAUGGUAUGAGGUGGACCACGGGAGAAAUAAGUAUCGCGUGUACGUUCGAGGUGCUGUUUCUUGUACUUGCAGGGCGUAUGAUGUGAGUGGCAUACAUUGUUGUCAUAUAAUGUCUGCUAUGUGGACUGAAUAUGGAGAAACAAAGCUACCAGAGACUGUUGUCUCUGAUUGGUAUUCAGUUGAGAAGUGGAAGUUAUGUUAUGGUUCAUUGCUUCGUCCUGUGAAUGGAAUGCAGCUGUGGAAAACUCACACUAAUGUUGUAGUUAUGCCUCCUCCGGAUAGAAUCAUGCCAGGGAGACCAAAGAACAAUGAUAUAAUUCGUGAGCCAACUGAAGCUUUGCCAUCCCAAGUUCUUUCUGCACGUGAAAAAGUUCAAAUGACCUGCAGUAAUUCUCAACAAGUCGGACACAAUAUACGUUCAUGUAAGCGUGAAGUUGUGCCUAAACCACCUAAGAAACCUCAAGGAAGACCGAGAAAAAAACAGAAAAUAAUGACGGAAGAAGAGGUUACCAAUCAACCAGCACAAUCCUCCUUAGUUUCUUAGAGGAUGAUACUCAAUUUCUUUUCUUAAGUUGUACUUUUUGUGCUUUUUAGUUUUGGUGAAACUAUGUUUCACUUUACGAUGUUCUGUUUUUUCUCGUAUACGGUGCUCUGUUUUAUUUUUUUGGUAUGCUCUGUUUUUGUGGUAAAAUCAUGUUAGUCUGAUAUA